CGCCGCUACCGUAGCUGGUGGAAAUAGCUUAAUGGUAGAGCAUAGCCUUGCCAAGGCUGAGGUUGAGGGUUCAAGUCCCUCCUUCCGCUCUUGGCUUCGUCGUUUAGUGGUAACGAGUAGAGUAGGCAUCGCCUCUCGAUCCAAUCCGUC